rnacentral:rRNA from 1 species
UACGUAGGGGGCGAGCGUUGUCCGGAAUCAUUGGGCGUAAAGCGCGUGUAGGCGGCUCGAUAAGUCUGCUGUGAAAGUCCAGGGCUCAACCCUGGAAUGCCGGUGGAAACUGUUGAGCUUGAGUCCGGAAGAGGCGAGUGGAAUUCCUGGUGUAGCGGUGAAAUGCGUAGAGAUCGGGAGGAACACCAGAGGCGAAGGCGGCGACCUGGACAGUAACUGACGCUAAACUACGAAAGCGUGGGGAGCAAACAGG